rnacentral:rRNA from 1 species
UAACAAGGAUUCCCCUAGUAACUGCGAGUGAAGCGGGACAAGCUCAAAUUUAAAAUCUGUCAGUCUUUGGCUGUCCGAGUUGUAAUCUAAAGAAGUGUUAUCCGCGCUGGACCGUGUACAAGUCUCCUGGAAUGGAGCGUCAUAGAGGGUGAGAAUCCCGUCUUUGACACGGACUGCCAGGGCUUUGUGAUGCGCUCUCAAAGAGUCGAGUUGUUUGGGAAUGCAGCUCAAAAUGGGUGGUAAAUUCCAUCUAAAGCUAAAUAUUGGCGAGAGACCGAUAGCGAACAAGUACCGUGAGGGAAAGAUGAAAAGAACUUUGGAAAGAGAGUUAAACAGUACGUGAAAUUGCUGAAAGGGAAACGCUUGAAGUCAGUCGCGUUAUCCAGGGAUCAACCUUGCUUAUGCUUGGUGUACUUUCUGGUCAAUGGGUCAGCAUCAAUUUUGACUAUUGGAUAAAGAUCAGGGGAAUGUGGCAUCUUCGGAUGUGUUAUAGCCUUUGGUUGCAUACAAUGGUUGGGAUUGAGGAACUCAGCACGCCGCAAGGGCGGGUACUUGUACCACGUACGUGCUCAGGAUGCUGGCAUAAUGGCUUUAAUCGACCCGUCUUGAAACACGGACCAAGGAGUCUAACAUGCCUGCGAGUGUUUGGGUGGAAAACCCGAGUGCGUAAUGAAAGUGAAAGUUAAGAUCCCUGUCGUGGGGAGCAUUGACGCCCGGAUCAGACCUUUUGUGACGGUUCCGCGGUAGAGCAUGUAUGUUGGGACCCGAAAGAUGGUGAACUAUGCCUGAAUAGGGUGAAGCCAGAGGAAACUCUGGUGGAGGCUCGUAGCGAUUCUGACGUGCAAAUCGAUCGUCAAAUUUGGGUAUAGGGGCGAAAGACUAAUCGAACCAUCUAGUAGCUGGUUCCU